rnacentral:rRNA from 1 species
GACGAACGCUGGCGGCGUGCCUAAUACAUGCAAGUCGAACGCUGAAGGAGGAGCUUGCUCUUCUGGAUGAGUUGCGAACGGGUGAGUAACGCGUAGGUAACCUGCCUGGUAGCGGGGGAUAACUAUUGGAAACGAUAGCUAAUACCGCAUAACAGUAGAUGUUGCUUGACAUUUACUUAAAAGAUGCAAUUGCAUCACUACCAGAUGGACCUGCGUUGUAUUAGCUAGUUGGUGGGGUAACGGCUCACCAAGGCGACGAUACAUAGCCGACCUGGGAGGGGGAUCGGCCACACUGGGACUGAGACACGGCCCAGACCCCUACGGGAGGGAGCAGGAGGGAAACUUCGGCAAGGGACGGAAGUCUGAACGAGGAACGCCGCGGGAGGGAAGAAGGUUGUCGGAUCGUAAAGAUCUGUUGUAAGAGAAGAAAGAGAGUGAGAGUGGAAAGUUCACACUGUGACGGUAUCUUACCAGAAAGGGACGGCUAACUACGUG